rnacentral:sRNA from 1 species
GAGUGUACGCGAACGAAAAGCACUGGCUGGAGAUCAUCUAUGUGGAAUGUGGACAGGGCAAGGUGCCCAUAGCCCCUAUGGCUGACAGAGAGGACUGGAAUGAAAUUGACCCCAUUAAAAAGAAAGACCUUCAUCACAGCAAUGGAGAAGAGAAAGCACAAAGCAUGGAGACCCUCCCUCCAGGGAAAGUACGGUGGCCAGACUUUAACCAGGAAGCUUAUGUUGGAGGGACGAUGGUCCGCUCCGGGCAGGACCCUUACGCCCGCAACAAGUUCAACCAAGUGGAGAGUGAUAAGCUGCGAAUGGACAGAGCCAUCCCUGACACCCGGCAUGACCAGUGUCAGCGGAAGCAGUGGCGGGUGGAUCUGCCGGCCACCAGCGUGGUGAUCACGUUUCACAAUGAAGCCAGGUCGGCCCUGCUCAGGACCGUGGUCAGCGUGCUUAAGAAAAGCCCGCCCCAUCUCAUAAAAGAAAUCAUCUUGGUGGAUGACUACAGCAAUGAUCCUGAGGACGGGGCUCUCUUGGGGAAAAUUGAGAAAGUGCGAGUUCUUAGAAAUGAUCGACGAGAAGGCCUGAUGCGCUCACGGGUUCGGGGGGCCGAUGCUGCCCAAGCCAAGGUCCUGACUUUCCUGGACAGUCACUGUGAGUGUAAUGAGCACUGGCUGGAGCCCCUCCUGGAGAGGGUGGCGGAG